CCAAGACCUGGCAGCCUCAGGGUUGUUGUGACCUAUGGUAAUUCAUUCAGCGGGCUGCUGUGUAUGAAUACUGUGUGCACAGUGAGCCGAGUAGGCAAGGUCCUGGCUAUUGUGCAGCUUAAUGUCAGUUAUGAAAAAAGCCACUGCUGUGUAAAAGAAAUUUGAGGGACAUAGAAUCUGGAUUGAAUCCUGAUUUGAACAGACCAGCUAUGAAAUGCAUUUUCAGGGCAAUUGAAGAAAUUUGAACAUAGAUGGACUGAAUAUGAGAUGAAAAUGUAUUGCCAUGGAAAAGUGGAGAUCAUUAACUGAAAAGAGCAAGUCACAAAACAGACUCUUGGAGAAAUGAUGGCGUGUGACUUCUGAGAUGAGGCCAUAAAAGACAUUGUCACUUUCUCCGUGGUCUUGGAUCUCUGACUUUGGAAAAAGUCUGCUGCCAUGUCAUGAAGACAAUCAAGCAGCCCUAUGGAGAAAUUAAUGCGGUGAGGAGCUGAGGCUCCUGACCACAACUAUGGGCAUGAGCCACCUCGAAGGGAGAUCCUCCAACCCUGUCAAGCCUUCAGAUGACAGCAGCCCUGGCUGACGUCUUAAAUGCAGCUUCCUGAAAGAGCCUGAGCAAAGACAGCCAGCUAAGCUGCUCUCAAAUUCCUGGCCACCAGAAUCUGUGAGAUAUGAAUAUAUAUUGUUGUUUUCAGCCAUUAAGUUGAGAUGCUAACAGAAGACCCAAGACUUCUGGAUCAGAGAGAAAGGCCUUUUCUACUCAUGGCAAAAUACGCAGUGUAAGCUUCAUGUGUGCAACGGUUCCCCUUUGCCUCCCAAAUUUCCUGGGGUUGUGUUACAGGAGAGAAACAGAAGCUGGAGAAUCAUCCAUUUUAGAGCAAGCACUAAGUAAACCUGUUUUUUGUCUUGGAGGGAGACAUUAUUUCAUCCCUCAAGGUUGCUCACUGAAAACAUACCAGGUAAAGAGAGGCCACGAGACAAGCUGGUACCUGGGACCUGGGACCUGGGACCCCUUACUGCAGUGCUUGCACCUGGACAAAUGUCUCCUUGAGCAACAAAAUAAAGAGAAACUGUGAGGGACUAAAAAUAACUGUGCCCAUGUGCAACUGGGGCAAAUUACAGACAAUAAGAUACAAAAAGACCAAAAAACCCAACUGCUACUUCUGAAGAGCCAGGAGCAAAAACAGUGUGUCGGGAGAGAAAGCAGGGUACUGCACAUGCCCCCUGCACACAACACCACCAAAGGGGUGGGCAGACCACCUAAGCCAACCCUCCAGCCCAACCCAUGACAUACCCCUACCCUCACCCCAUAUAAGGAACCUGCUUGCCCCCCUGGGGGAGUGAGCAAGGGCACCUGUUACUUGU